AAGGAGAGUUCUCAUCGGUGCACGACAGACUGAAGACCACUGGAAGCCACCCGACCAGGAAUCUGUCGGAGCCAAAGCACAGGAGAAGGUCAGCAUGGGGCUGGGGGAGCCGGCCAGGCAGAUACCACAGUGACGGUGCUGGGCAGGGAGGGGACGCACCGCCACCGCCUAGCCCCAGUCUAGACGCCUGCGUCCCUCGCCACGCACAGGGAAGACGUGAAAAGCAGUUCCUGUCAACACAUUUCCAGAGUGUGCACAGUGUGAAAACUGCAGCGGGUCUCCCAGCGGCACGGACCCGACAGAAGCACAAGCCCCUGCUGGAAGGAGCCGCCGAGCGCGCGUGGCCACCGAGGAGAGAGCGCAGCGUGGACGCCGGCCAUGCACCGACGGCGGGGAGUGAGUGGGCUGCGGCUGGAGGAGUUAAUACAGACGAAGCUGCGUGGACAAGACGGCUGGGCAGAGACCAAGUGUGAAAAGAAACACAAAACAAGGACAGAGAUAAAUGAGACAGGAAGAGAGAGGCGACUAGAAAAGCCGGCAUGGCAGAGACCGCCAGGAUGUGGCGCAGCAAGAGCUUAGGAGCCCCCAACACCAAGCGUGGAGCCACUCAGCUGAGCAGGACACAGAC
rnacentral:antisense_RNA from 1 species